CUUGUUGUUGCUGCUAUUGUUGGUUACUGUUUGCUCCUGUUGCUGCUGCUGCUGCUGUUUGCUUCUGUUGCUGGUUGCUGUUUCCUGGAUUGAUUGCUACUUGAAGAUAUUCUGAUAAUAAAGAUCAAAUUUGCCUCAAGGAACUCAAUGCCCCUGAUCAGCAGUGCUGGGACUGAACCAAAGCCCUGUGCACAUUGCCUACAUGUUCCACAGUGAACUCCAUCCAGCUUCCCUUAACCGGAGGAUGAGUAGAGGAGUCUCCAACAAGGCUUUUCAUCAGGAGGGUUACCUUCCCAGUAUCUUGGGAACAGAAGAGGCAAUCAUCUGCAAGCCAGGAAGAGCCCUCGCCAGACCCCAGCCGGGCCAUACCCUGUUCCUGGAUGUCUACUCUGCAGAGUUGUGAGAAAUCUGUUUGUUGAUUAAAUCUUCCAGUUGAUGGCAUUUUGUUUUGUCAACCCUAUCACGUUAAUAUAGGCCCAAAGAACAUCACAGAAGAGGGAAUAGAAGAAAAUAUGAGUCAGAAGAUGAGGAAGAGUGACGUGAAGUGCUACCUUCAGGAUGACAUGGCCAUCGCACUCAUAAGCUCACAGCAGCUGUGGUAGCUGCGAAAGAGCGCAUCAACGUUCUGCCAUUGGUAGGGGAGGGGCUCACGAGGCCUACCCUUCCUCAAGGAGCUCUUGUCAGUUAACAGGCUAUUAGGGGAGGGGAAGUCAUUUUCCUCCUGGCCACAGGUGGGUUGCCCAAACUUUGCUAAAUGCCUUCCCAAUCCGUGCUCAUGUCAACAAUACUAAUUAGACUCAGUGAGCAACAAGUUAGGGUAGGAAGAGAAAAUAAGAAAAGAAAAAUAUGACAGGAAAGUAGUAGAGGGACUGGUUGGGAGGAAUCUGGAGUUCAGCAAGGGAGGGACAAAAAGAGAGUGUGUGGCAGGGGUGAAUUAAAAUGCAUUAUAUGUAUAUACACAUACACAUAUAUAUUUAUAUGUGUAUAGAAAAUUGUCACACACAGAGACAUGCACACAGAGAGUCCAUGAUAAAGUACAAAGUAACGAUAUUCUCUGAAUUUUGAAAAGCUACCUUCUUGAUGCCCCUUGAGAAGGCCUGAAAGAAAACUGGCAUGUACUAUUAUAUUUGUAGUCACCCUCUGUAUAUGUCUGUUCUGCUUUCUUAGAGUCAAUCACCCACAGACAAAAUGUUUAUGAGAAACAACUGCGUCUGUUC